rnacentral:rRNA from 1 species
CGCUAUCACUCCUACGGGAGGCAGCAUGGGGAAUAUUGCACAAUGGGGGAAACCCUGAUGCAGCCAUGCCGCGUGUGUGAAGAAGGCCUUCGGGUUGUAAAGCACUUUCAGUAGGGAGGAAGGUAGUGUAGUUAACACCUGCAUUAUUUGACGUUACCUACAGAAGAAGCACCGGCUAACUCCGUGCCAGCAGCCGCGGUAAUACGGAGGGUGCGAGCGUUAAUCGGAAUUACUGGGCGUAAAGCGCAUGCAGGCGGCCUGUUAAGUCAGAUGUGAAAGCCCCGGGGCUUAACCUCGGAAUUGCAUUUGAAACUGGCAGGCUAGAGUCUUGUAGAGGGGGUAGAAUUUCAGGUGUAGCGGUGAAAUGCGUAGAGAUCUGAAGGAAUACCAGUGGCGAAGGCGGCCCCCUGGACAAAGACUGACGCUCAGAUGCGAAAGCGUGGGGAGCAAACAGGAUUAGAUACCCUGGUAG